UACGAGAGGGGUAAGCAUUAUUCAUCAUAAAUGGGUCUAAAGGGUACGUAGGCUGUUUCACAAGACUAUAUAGUAUCAAACUAAAUGAACAAGAGCUAUAUAGUAACUAUGAAACUAGAGUGUAAUGGAGGAAAGAGGAGUUCUGAGAGUAGGGAUGGAAUCUGUUGAUACUCGGAAGACCGCUUAAGGCGAAGGCUUCUUUCUAACUAACCACUGACGCUGAGGUACGAAAGUAUGGGGAGCAAAACGG
rnacentral:rRNA from 1 species